rnacentral:rRNA from 1 species
UUCGGUCCUUGCUGCACCCUUGUCUUUUGCGUACCGUAUGUUUCCUCGGCGGGCUUGCCUGCCGGUUGGACAUUAUCAAACCUUUUUGUAGUUGCAAUCAGCGUCAGAAAAUAAAACAAUAAUUACAACUUUCAACAACGGAUCUCUUGGUUCUGGCAUCGAUGAAGAACGCAGCGAAAUGCGAAAAGUAGUGUGAAUUGCAGAAUUCAGUGAAUCAUCGAAUCUUUGAACGCACAUUGCGCCCCUUGGUAUUCCAUGGGGCAUGCCUGUUCGAGCGUCAUUUUGUACCCUCAAGCACUGCUUGGUGUUGGGCGUUUGUCCUGCAAAGGACUCGCCUGAAAGCGAUUGGCGGCCAACGUACUGGUGGUAGAGCGCAGCACAAUUUGCGUCUCUCCCUUCUACGUUGGCGUCCAUGAAGCCUAUUUUCAACGUUUGACCUCGGAUCAGGUAGGGAUACCCGCUGAACUUAAGCAUAUCA